rnacentral:misc_RNA from 1 species
GGACGAGCAAUUAGUUCAGCGAGACAGAGGCAAGCCCUGAAUCCAGUGCUUUAAGUUUAACCAUCAGCUCAAGGCAAAAAACCGAAUUCUUAUGCCUAAAGAUGAAUUGAAAUAAAAUCAAGUAAAACAACUAUUAAUAAGUUUCAAUGCUGGAUCGACUAAACCUAGAUAGAAGGACACCAACCUUCAUUAGUUUGGGCGUUAGUGACCA